rnacentral:rRNA from 2 species
CUUACCAGGUCUUGACAUCCUCUGCUAACCCUAGAGAUAGGGCGUUCCCCUUCCGGGGACGGAGUGACAGGUGGUGCAUGGUUGUCGUCAGCUCGUGUCGUGAGAUGUUGGGUUAAGUCCCGCAACGAGCGCAACCCUUGAUCUUAGUUGCCAGCAUUUAGUUGGGCACUCUAAGGUGACUGCCGGUGACAAACCGGAGGAAGGUGGGGAUGACGUCAAAUCAUCAUGCCCCUUAUGACCUGGGCUACACACGUGCUACAAUGGAUGGUACAAAGGGCAGCAAAACCGCGAGGUCGAGCCAAUCCCAUAAAACCAUUCUCAGUUCGGAUUGUAGGCUGCAACUCGCCUACAUGAAGCCGGAAUCGCUAGUAAUCGCGGAUCAGCAUGCCGCGGUGAAUACGUUCCCGGGCCUUGUACACACCGCCCGUCACACCACGAGAGUUUGUAACACCCGAAGUCGGUGGGGUAACCGUAAGGAGCCAGCCGCCUAAGGUGGGACAGAUGAUUGGGGUGAAGUCGUAACAAGGUAGCCGUAUCGGAAGGUGCGGCUGGAACACCUCCUUCU